rnacentral:lncRNA from 1 species
AUGGGCAGGAAGUUAAGAUGGAAAGAAGUUAUGCAAAGAACAAUAGAAAGCUCCAUUGAAGAUGAAAAUUUGGAGCUUCCUAUGCGUGAAACUAGAGUGGGUUGGUAAAUACAAAGGUUCGUAUAGAGGUUGUUUGGGAGAUAAAAGAAAGAGGCAUGCAUGCCAUAUGAUCAGUUGGAGUAUCCAUGAUGACGGUGAAG